UAGUCCACGCCGUAAACGAUGUCUACUAGCCGUUGGGACUCUUGAAGUCUUAGUGGCGCAGCUAACGCACUAAGUAGACCGCCUGGGGAGUACGGCCGCAAGGUUAAAACUCAAAUGAAUUGACGGGGGCCCGCACAAGCGGUGGAGCAUGUGGUUUAAUUCGACGCAACGCGAAGAACCUUACCUGGCCUUGACAUGCAGAGAACUUUCCAGAGAUGGAUUGGUGCCUUCGGGAACUCUGACACAGGUGCUGCAUGGCCGUCGUCAGCUCGUGUCGUGAGAUGUUGGGUUAAGUCCCGUAACGAGCGCAACCCCUAUCCCUAGUUGCUAGCAGUUCGGCUGAGAACUCUAGGGAGACUGCCGGUGACAAACCGGAGGAAGGUGGGGAUGACGUCAGGUCAUCAUGGCCCUUACGGCCAGGGCUACACACGUGCUACAAUGGUGCGCACAGAGGGCUGCAAACCCGCGAGGGGGAGCCAAUCUCACAAAACGCAUCGUAGUCCGGAUCGCAGUCUGCAACUCGACUGCGUGAAGUCGGAAUCGCUAGUAAUCGUGAAUCAGAAUGUCACGGUGAAUACGUUCCCGGGCCUUGUACACACCGCCCGUCACACCAUGGGAGUGGAUUGCACCAGAAGUGGUUAG
rnacentral:rRNA from 1 species